rnacentral:rRNA from 1 species
UGGAGGUAAAAGUCGUAACAAGGUCUCCGUUGGUGAACCAGCGGAGGGAUCAUUACCGAGUUUACAACUCCCAAACCCCAAUGUGAACGUUACCAAACUGUUGCCUCGGCGGGAUUUCUGCCCCGGGCGCGUCGCAGCCCCGGACCAAGGCGCCCGCCGGAGGACCAAUUUACAAACUCUUUUGUAUAUCCCAUCGCGGAUUCUUUACAUUCUGAGCUUUCUCGGCGCUCCUAGCGAGCGUUUCGAAAAUGAAUCAAAACUUUCAACAACGGAUCUCUUGGUUCUGGCAUCGAUGAAGAACGCAGCGAAAUGCGAUAAGUAAUGUGAAUUGCAGAAUUCAGUGAAUCAUCGAAUCUUUGAACGCACAUUGCGCCCGCCAGUAUUCUGGCGGGCAUGCCUGUCCGAGCGUCAUUUCAACCCUCGAACCCCUCCGGGGGGUCGGCGUUGGGGAUCGGCACUUACCUGCCGGCCCCGAAAUACAGUGGCGGUCUCGCCGCAGCCUCUCCUGCGCAGUAGUUUGCACACUCGCACCGGGAGCGCGGCGCGUCCACGGCCGUAAAACAACCCAAACUUCUGAAAUGUUGACCUCGGAUCAGGUAGGAAUACCCGCUGAACUUAAGCAUAUCAAUAAGCGGAGGA